GCGAUCGUAGCCAAGUGGUUAAGGCAGUGGAUUGUGGUUCCACCACUCGCGGGUUCAAUUCCCGUCGUUCGCCC
rnacentral:tRNA from 1 species